rnacentral:sRNA from 2 species
AUUUCUAAAUCGCUGAAGUGAAAUACACGGGGGACCCGUUUAUAUGGAUUGCAAUGUAAUCCUAGGGGUGAAUCCUUUAAAGAAGGUAGGGCUACUCAAGGCCCGAAUCCGACAGCUAACCUCGUAAGCGUUAUAUGAGAAGGAAG